rnacentral:rRNA from 1 species
UGGGGAAUAUUGGACAAUGGGCGAAAGCCUGAUCCAGCCAUGCCGCGUGUGUGAAGAAGGUCUUCGGAUUGUAAAGCACUUUAAGUUGGGAGGAAGGGCAUUAACCUAAUACGUUAGUGUUUUGACGUUACCGACAGAAUAAGCACCGGCUAACUCUGUGCCAGCAGCCGCGGUAAUACAGAGGGUGCAAGCGUUAAUCGGAAUUACUGGGCGUAAGGCGCGCGUAGGUGGUUUGUUAAGUUGGAUGUGAAAUCCCCGGGCUCAACCUGGGAACUGCAUUCAAAACUGACUGACUAGAGUAUGGUAGAGGGUGGUGGAAUUUCCUGUGUAGCGGUGAAAUGCGUAGAUAUAGGAAGGAACACCAGUGGCGAAGGCGACCACCUGGACUAAUACUGACACUGAGGUGCGAAAGCGUGGGGAGCAAACA